ACAAGGUUUCCGUAGGUGAACCUGCGGAAGGAUCAUUACAGAGUUCAUGCCCGAAAGGGUAGACCUCCCACCCUUGUGUAUUAUUACUUUGUUGCUUUGGCGAGCUGCUCUUCGGGGCCUUGUAUGCUCGCCAGAGAAUAUCAAAACUCUUUUUAUUAAUGUCGUCUGAGUACUAUAUAAUAGUUAAAACUUUCAACAACGGAUCUCUUGGUUCUGGCAUCGAUGAAGAACGCAGCGAAAUGCGAUAAGUAAUGUGAAUUGCAGAAUUCAGUGAAUCAUCGAAUCUUUGAACGCACAUUGCGCCCCUUGGUAUUCCGGGGGGCAUGCCUGUUCGAGCGUCAUUUCAACCCUCAAGCUCAGCUUGGUAUUGAGUCCAUGUCAGUAAUGGCAGGCUCUAAAAUCAGUGGCGGCGCCGCUGGGUCCUGAACGUAGUAAUAUCUCUCGUUACAGGUUCUCGGUGUGCUUCUGCCAAAACCCAAAUUUUCUAUGGUUGACCUCGGAUCAGGUAGGGAUACCCGCUGAACUUAAGCAUA
rnacentral:rRNA from 1 species